rnacentral:rRNA from 1 species
AAGAUAGGACGUCCCCUUCGGGGGCAGAGUGACAGGUGGUGCAUGGUUGUCGUCAGCUCGUGUCGUGAGAUGUUGGGUUAAGUCCCGCAACGAGCGCAACCCUUGAUCUUAGUUGCCAGCAUUCAGUUGGGCACUCUAAGGUGACUGCCGGUAGACAAACCGGAGGAAGGUGGGGAUGACGUCAAAUCAUCAUGCCCCUUAUGACCUGGGCUACACACGUGCUACAAUUGACAGAACAAAGGGCAGCGAAACCGCGAGGUUAAGCCAAUCCCACAAAUCUGUUCUCAGUUCGGAUCGCAGUCUGCAACUCGACUGCGUGAAGCUGGAAUCGCUAGUAAUCGCGGAUCAGCAUGCCGCGGUGAAUACGUUUCCCGGGCCUUGUACACACCGCCCGUCACACCACGAGAGUUUGUAACACCCGAAGUCGGUGAGGUAACCUUUUAGGAGCCAGCCGCC